UACAGAGGGUGCGAGCGUUAAUCGGAAUUACUGGGCGUAAAGCGCGCGUAGGCGGCUUUGCAAGCCGGAUGUGAAAUCCCCGGGCUUAACCUGGGAACUGCAUUCGGGACUGCAUUGCUAGAGUAUGGGAGAGGGAAGUGGAAUUUCAGGUGUAGCGGUGGAAUGCGCAGAUAUCAGGAGGAACACCGGUGGCGAAGGCGGGUCUCUGGGCAGUAACUGACGCUGAGGAGCGAAAGCGUGGGGAGCGAACAGG
rnacentral:rRNA from 1 species